GGUGCGUAAGCAAAGCCCAUCGAAGAAGAAAGAGUGUUUUGGGCCGAAUGCCCCCGCCAUCUUCAACCGCCGAUAACGCCUAUUUUCGGUAGAUUUCUCUAGUGAUUUCUUCAAUCUGCAUCUUCCAACUACAGAGAGGUUUCUAACUGCGAAUUGUGCUGAUGAAUUGGUCAUAAAUCUCAUUUUGCUGGCUGAUUCACUUUGUGCUUGAUGGCAAAAACAAAUGAACUGAAGAUGAAUUAGCAGGAGACGAAUAUUGUUCCUUUUAA